UACGAAGGGGGCUAGCGUUGCUCGGAAUCACUGGGCGUAAAGCGCACGUAGGCGGAUCGUUAAGUCGGAGGUGAAAUCCUGGAGCUCAACUCCAGAACUGCCUUCGAUACUGGCGAUCUUGGAGUCCGGGAGAGGUGAGUGGAACUCCGAGUGUAGAGGUGAAAUUCGUAGAUAUCGAGAGGAACACCGGUGGCGAAGGCGGCGAUCUGGACGAUGACUGACGCUGAGACGCGAAAGCGUGGGGAGCAAACAGG
rnacentral:rRNA from 1 species